GGUUAUUAGAGAACAACUAGCACUAAGCGUGACCAAUACGAGAAGUUACAUGGAUGUCUGCCCACUCGUUAGUGACUUUCUCGAUGCUGUAGUUGUAUAACUGAUCUUUUGACCUGCAAUAUUACAACUGCUCGCAGUGAGGCUACUAGAGUUUGAUUACACAUAAAUAUGAAUCUCAAUAAGCCCUUGUAGUGGAUGUUGGUGACAGUUGGUCCAC
rnacentral:lncRNA from 1 species